rnacentral:rRNA from 1 species
GUCCUGCAGCUUAGAUUAAUGCAGGUCCAACCUGCCCGGUGAGGAGUUUAACGGCCGCAGUAACCUGACUGUGCUAAGGUAGCGUGAUAAUUCGCCUUUUAAUUGGAGGCUGGUAUGAAUGGUUAGACGAGGGUUAAGCUGUCUCUAGUAAAGGAUCAAUGAAGUUGCCUUUAGGUGCAGAGGCCUAGAUUGAUGGUAUGAAAGACGAGAAGACCCUAGUGUGCUUUAGCUUUUGUUAUCAUAAAUAGUGGUGAUGAUAGUUUUUGUUGGGGAAACAUAGGACCAGAAAAAGCGUCCUAAUUGUUAGAUAGACUAUGGCUUUGGGAGGAAUAUUUGAGGGUAUCUCUGUUUCUGCAAGCGAGUGUGUAGGGUUAAAGUACUGAUUAUUUGAUUUGCUCAGUAGUAUAAUAGCGGCUGGAAUUGAUAAUAAUAAACUUCAUUGCGAACAUGUAUGCGAAGGUUUGUAUGUGUGGGGAAUGGGCUUAAUUAAGUGUUGAGUGUAUGAUGCGUUUUUGAAAUUACGAUUCUUUUGGCAAAAGUAACCCUAGGGAUAACAGACUAAUUUCCUUUGAGAGUGCACAUUAACAAGGAAGUUUGGCACCUCGAUGUUGGCUUAAGGAUGUAGUUAUGAAGUAGAGAUCUGACUUAUGGGUUUGUUCAACCUUUAAAUCCUUA